rnacentral:rRNA from 1 species
CACGUAGGGCGCAAGCGUUGUCCGGAAUUAUUGGGCGUAAAGAGCUCGUAGGCGGUCUGUUGCGUCCGCUGUGAAAACUCGGGGCUUAACCCCGAGCCUGCAGUGGAUACGGGCAGACUAGAGGUAGGUAGGGGAGAAUGGAAUUCCCGGUGUAGCGGUGAAAUGCGCAGAUAUCUGGAGGAACACCGGUGGCGAAGGCGGGUCUCUGGGCCGGAACUGACGCUAAGGAGCGAAAGCGUGGGGAGCGAACAGG